rnacentral:tRNA from 1 species
GGAGAGGUGGCCGAGUCCGGUUUAAGGCGGCGGUUUGCUAAACCGUUGUACGUGUGAAAGCGCGUACCUGGGGUUCAAAUCCCCACCUCUCCG